UACGUAGGGUGCGAGCGUUAAUCGGAAUUACUGGGCGUAAAGCGUGCGCAGGCGGUUUUGUAAGCCAGAUGUGAAAUCCCCGGGCUUAACCUGGGAAUGGCAUUUGGGACUGCAAGGCUGGAGUUUGGCAGAGGAGACUGGAAUUCCAGGUGUAGCGGUGAAAAUGCGUAGAUAUCUGGAGGAACACCGGUGGCGAAGGCGACAUCCUGGACCGGUAUUGACGCUGAGGCGCGAAAGCGUGGGGGAGCAAACGGGG
rnacentral:rRNA from 1 species